rnacentral:ncRNA from 1 species
GUAAGCCCCAGCCCACAUGCCACGGUCAUCCACAGGUAAGAGCGGCCAAAUGCCGCCGCCGUGGCCCUUCCGCAAGGAAGGAGGGCUUGGGGCAGGAGGA